UGUAAAAAAAAAAUUGGCAAAAUAGUCUAUAAGAACUAAAUACUUUUAAAUCAAUUGAAGAGAGUGAUAUAAAACCAAUAUGGUGCUAAUACUGUAAUCUACUGUACACAUAAAAAGCACUAAGACCUCCAACACCAGUUAUAGGAACAAAUAAAGGGGAAUGUCAGACAAUGUGGUUUUACAGAUGGGCCAUAAUUUUCUAACAUUGGGAAAUCAGCAUCUGCAAGCAUCUGGUUGGUGAAGAUAAUAGAUGUAUUUUGUACAUAGCAUGCACAAUAUAUUCAAAGGUUUAAGAUAAACCACUGAUAUAUUAUAAUACAAGAAUGACAACCUCUUGGAUAGAAGAAUUAGCACCUUGGCAAGCUGUUUACAAACUUUGAAAAAUUGGGAAUUUUUUGCCACACAUUCAUCAAGACAAGUGGUUUCUGAUCACCUGAGGACAUAUACACAGAUUUUUACUGAAAUAUGAUAAAAACAGGCAAAAAUAUGGGAGACUUCUAGUACACAUGGUCACAAAUUAUCCACUCUACAGUUUUGAUAAAAUUAAUUUUCUAAUAUUUAAAGGAUAUAAAUGUUUUAGACUAUCCUAUUGACUAUAUAAGGAUCAACCAGUAGGCAUUAUGAGAGUUCGCUGUAAUAACACCAACAAAAGCAUUAUUUUACCCAUUUGUAAAACAUCCUAGAGAAAUUUGCCACUUGGUCUUCAGGUUCCUUGGAUUGGAAAUGAAAUUCAACAGUAUUUCCUCUAGUUGUAUUCAGAAUGAGUUCAAAUUAAAACCAAAAGAAAAAUCAAAACAAAUUGACUACAUUAUCCAAGCAAUAAGAUAAUUUUGUAUAUUCAACAGGUGAGGAAGAUAA